rnacentral:rRNA from 1 species
UACGUAGGGGGCAAGCGUUGUCCGGAAUUAUUGGGCGUAAAGCGCGUGUAGGCGGCCAGAUAAGUCCGCUGUGAAAUCUCGAGGCUCAACUUCGAGCUGUCGGUGGAAACUGUCUGGCUAGAGUCCGGAAGAGGAGAAUGGAAUUCCUGGUGUAGCGGUGAAAUGCGCAGAUAUCAGGAAGAACACCCGUGGCGAAGGCGCUCUACUGGGCCGUAACUGACACUGAGGGACGAAAGCUAGGGGAGCGAAAGGG